rnacentral:rRNA from 1 species
AUACGUAGGGUGCAAGCGUUAAUCGGAAUUACUGGGCGUAAAGCGUGCGCAGGCGGUUUUGUAAGACAGAGGGGAAAUCCCCGGGCUCAACCUGGGAACUGCCUUUGUGACUGCAAGGCUAGAGUACGGCAGAGGGGGAUGGAAUUCCGCGUGUAGCAGUGAAAUGCGUAGAUAUGCGAAGGAACACCGAUGGCGAAGGCAAUCCCCUGGGCCUGUACUGACGCUCAUGCACGAAAGCGUGGGGAGCAAACAGGAUUAGAUACCCUGGUAGUCCACGCCCUAAACGAUGUCAACUGGUUGUUGGGUCUUCAUUGACUCAGUAACGAAGCUAACGCGUGAAGUGGACCGCCUGGGGAGUACGGCCGCAAGGUUGAAACGCAAAGGAAUUGACGGGG